rnacentral:tRNA from 1 species
AGGGAAUAGUUUAUAUUAAAAUUUUAAUUUUGGAGAUUAAAGAUAGAAUUAUUUCUUUCCCUGAA